rnacentral:lncRNA from 1 species
CAAGCAAACAAGGAUUCGUAUAUAAAUUUAAUUAAUUAAUUAAUUUCAAUUAGGUUAUAUUAAUUACAUCUUAAUGACAACUAUAAACUUAUAGAAAAACAGGUAAUAUAUUGGGGAAAAAAAACAAAUUACAUUCUACAGACAGCUCUCUAUGUUUAUAUAAGUAAAUAAAAACAUUGUAAAAAUAUGUACAUCAAGUAUAUCCCAAUUUAUCGAAUUUACCUACAUCCAAAAAAAUUAAAUGAUGAAAAACAUCAUACACAACCAUGGCCACCACCGUCGCAAGUGCAACCACCGUUGCCGGAGAUAAUAUCACCACCUUGAUGCGGUUUGGUGCUUAGGCAACAACAUAGAAGAGCCACCAGCAACAUGAAUCCCCAUACUGAAGCCAAAGCUUGUACCCAACUCAAGUAUUUCUCCAUUCACUUUUUCUCCUACGUCUGAUUUUGAUCUUCAGCUUCAUUCAUUAUAUAUAAUAUAUAUACCAGAAUUAAUUAUUAAUAAUAUGAUAGAUCUUUACUCUUUAGGGAAAAGAGAAUAAUGGGAUCAUUUUGGUGAGAUAUGGUGUGGCACAUGCUGUGAGCUUGAAAGAGUGCAAAACAACAAGGGGCCAACCUGGGAUUUUUAUGGUCACGCCUUAGCGGAGCUAAUGCUCUUCCACCUCUUGUAAUCCUUUAAAGGCUAAAUCAAAGAGUAAUAAAUUAUUAUUUUAUGUGGCAUAAAUGCUUCCGAAUCUUUUAGUUGUUGUUUUUAUAAAGAUAAUUGUCAAUUGUCACUUUGAAGACUAAGUGUUACAAAAAUAUAAAAUAAAAAGGUUUAAUAUUUUUUCCUCGUAUUUUUAGGUCGGGCUCAUAUUAGUCCCUAAUACACCAAUUAAUCAAAUAAAAUUCUAAACAAUUCAAUUCAAUUAAUUAAUUAAUCGAAUUUUGGGUGUUACAGAUUGCAUAUGUAAUGAUUGAUUCCUUGAAAUCUGACUUGGUAGUAAAAUAUGUCUCAAUUUUUCAUUUAUAAUUUGAAAAUUGGGUGUUUCUUCCUAUUACAGCCAUUUACUUCAUCUAUUUCACACCCAUUUUUUAAUUUCUAACUAUCAUCCUCAUCUUCAACCUCACUAAAAUCCUCUUUUGUUUAUGUUUCUUGUUGGUACCUUCAGUAUCAUUAUAAUAACCUAAUAGGUUUUUCAUACCAUCUUUCAUUAAAUCAUCAUUACCACUAUCUUCAUUUGAGUCAUCAAAUGCAACAUCUAAGGCAUUGUCAUAAUGAAAGCUCACAUCAUCAUUAUCAACUAGAGGAGAAUUUGCCUCAGGAUAAUUGUCACCAAUUACACCCUCAGUCACCCCGUCCUCAUUCACCUCAGUCUCAUUCACCCCAACCUCAUUCAUCUCAGUAUCUUUACCUCCAACUACACUCUUAUUAAUCUCAACUCCAUUAACCUCAUUAAUACCAACUUAAUCCCUCUCAAUUACACUCUCGGUCACCUCACCCACAUUCAACUCAGUAAUUUCACUUGUUGUACCUUUGACAACUUCCUCAUACAGUUUUCAAAUCUCAUCUUCUUCAUUAAGAAUAACAUUUUCCUCUAUAAGACCAUCAUAAUACUAGGUUGCAAAAGUGGAUGUUGUACAUACAUAUGAACACUCAAGUGUACCUUACAUAAAUUAACUACAUCUUGGACACCUUUGUCAUCACUCAAAUAAAUAUACCAAAGACGGGGUCCUUAAAUAAUAUUGUUCCAACUUAUUUAUAACACAAGUCUUUAAUUAUCAUUACCACCUCAAAAUAGCUCUAAUUAUCUACAUCACAUCUCAACUCAAAAACUAAUCUUACAUAACUAGAAAACUCAUCAUCUACAAAUGAACAUUCAUGGUGGAUAAAAACAUGAAUAAAGUCGCCCAUUUUUUAUACCUAAAAGGAAAACUACUUAAUAAGAACCAACGGAUAUUAACAAUUAGAAACAACACCAAUACAAAUUCCUAAAACCAACAGAAAAUCAUACAAUCACACAGAUACAACACAAUUUGACAUUUCGAAUAAGAACUACCAAAAACCCUAAUACGAAAAAUGUAUCCUAAAAUGAAUAUUAUACAUUAAACUUCAAAGAUCGAACCUAGUAAAUUGAAAAUCCAGUAAACCCUAUAUUAGAAAAGGGCGAAAUUGAAAAUUCAGGCAACGCUAAAUUUGAAAGAUGGGAAACAUUUGACUUACCAGUAGACUUUGUUCUAAGCCUUCCUUUCUUCGUUCUCAACGUUCGUUUCUUCGUUCUCAAUUUUCGUUCAUACCUACUGAAUCGUUCGCAUUUGCAACUCUCCAAUGUUCGUUUCACUCAUAGACUUCC